CCAAAGGCUCUUUUCAGAGCCAUAAACCCUUAUCUUGUCAGUGAUC
rnacentral:ncRNA from 1 species